rnacentral:rRNA from 1 species
GCAACGCGAAGAACCUUACCUGGUCUUGACAUCCACAGAACUUUCCAGAGAUGGAUUGGUGCCUUCGGGAACUGUGAGACAGGUGCUGCAUGGCUGUCGUCAGCUCGUGUUGUGAAAUGUUGGGUUAAGUCCCGCAACGAGCGCAACCCUUAUCCUUUGUUGCCAGCGGUUAGGCCGGGAACUCAAAGGAGACUGCCAGUGAUAAACUGGAGGAAGGUGGGGAUGACGUCAAGUCAUCAUGGCCCUUACGACCAGGGCUACACACGUGCUACAAUGGCAUAUACAAAGAGAAGCGACCUCGCGAGAGCAAGCGGACCUCAUAAAGUAUGUCGUAGUCCGGAUUGGAGUCUGCAACUCGACUCCAUGAAGUCGGAAUCGCUAGUAAUCGUAGAUCAGAAUGCUACGGUGAAUACGUUCCCGGGCCUUGUACACACCGCCCGUCACACCAUGGGAGUGGGGUUUGAAAAAAAAUUAGGUACCUUAACCUUCGGGAAGGGCGCUUACCACUUUGUGAUUCAUGACUGGGGUGAAGUCGUACAGGGAAAACCCCCCCCCCCCGGGUGGUUGGGGUUUUAUAUAUGUUUUUUUUUGGUGCCCCCCUCCUAGAUGACGCUGGCGGCAGGCCUAACACAUGCAAGUCGAGCGGUAGCACAGAGAGCUUGCUCUCGGGUGACGAGCGGCGGACGGGUGAGUAAUGUCUGGGAAACUGCCUGAUGGAGGGGGAUAACUACUGGAAACGGUAGCUAAUACCGCAUAAUGUCGCAAGACCAAAGUGGGGGACCUUCGGGCCUCAUGCCAUCAGAUGUGCCCAGAUGGGAUUAGCUAGUAGGUGGGGUAACGGCUCACCUAGGCGACGAUCCCUAGCUGGUCUGAGAGGAUGACCAGCCACACUGGAACUGAGACACGGUCCAGACUCCUACGGGAGGCAGCAGUGGGGAAUAUUGCACAAUGGGCGCAAGCCUGAUGCAGCCAUGCCGCGUGUGUGAAGAAGGCCUUCGGGUUGUAAAGCACUUUCAGCGGGGAGGAAGGCGUUAAGGUUAAUAACCUUGGCGAUUGACGUUACCCGCAGAAGAAGCACCGGCUAACUCCGUGCCAGCAGCCGCGGUAAUACGGAGGGUGCAAGCGUUAAUCGGAAUUACUGGGCGUAAAGCGCACGCAGGCGGUCUGUCAAGUCGGAUGUGAAAUCCCCGGGCUCAACCUGGGAACUGCAUUCGAAACUGGCAGGCUAGAGUCUUGUAGAGGGGGGUAGAAUUCCAGGUGUAGCGGUGAAAUGCGUAGAGAUCUGGAGGAAUACC